rnacentral:tRNA from 1 species
AAGAUUUUAAGUUAUUAAAACUAUUGCCCUUCAAAGGCACAAAAAAAAGUUCAAUUCUUUUAAAUCUUA